rnacentral:rRNA from 1 species
GACGAACGCUGGCGGCGUGCCUAAUACAUGCAAGUUGAGCGCUGAAGGUUGGAACUUGUACCAACUGGAUGAGCAGCGAACGGGUGAGUAACGCGUGGGGAAUCUGCCUUUGAGCGGGGGACAACAUUUGGAAACGAAUGCUAAUACCGCAUAAAAACUUUAAACACAAGUUUUAAGUUUGAAAGAUGCAAUUGCAUCACUCAAAGAUGAUCCCGCGUUGUAUUAGCUAGUUGGUGAGGUAAAGGCUCACCAAGGCGAUGAUACAUAGCCGACCUGAGAGGGUGAUCGGCCACAUUGGGACUGAGACACGGCCCAAACUCCUACGGGAGGCAGCAGUAGGGAAUCUUCGGCAAUGGACGAAAGUCUGACCGAGCAACGCCGCGUGAGUGAAGAAGGUUUUCGGAUCGUAAAACUCUGUUGGUAGAGAAGAACGUUGGUGAGAGUGGAAAGCUCAUCAAGUGACGGUAACUACCCAGAAAGGGACGGCUAACUACGUG